rnacentral:rRNA from 1 species
CGGCGGACGGGUGAGUAACACGUGGAUAACCUACCUAUAAGACUGGGAUAACUUCGGGAAACCGGAGCUAAUACCGGAUAAUAUAUUGAACCGCAUGGUUCAAUAGUGAAAGACGGUUUUGCUGUCACUUAUAGAUGGAUCCGNGCCGCAUUAGCUAGUUGGUAAGGUAACGGCUUACCAAGGCAACGAUGCGUAGCCGACCUGAGAGGGUGAUCGGCCACACUGGAACUGAGACACGGUCCAGACUCCUACGGGAGGCAGCAGGC